AUGUCUUUUCGAUCAUGAUUAACCACAUAAAGUACUUGUACUGAAAAGUUCACCUGAGGCUAAAAUUUCAAAAAAAUCUCUUGAUUUGUUUCUUAACUUUUAACUUCCCCUAGAGAGAUGUAAACAAUACAAUCUAUGGACAGAGUUCACCUAUGUCACAGGACUUGGUUAUUCUAACCAAUAAAAUCCUUCGUACUUUUAAUCAUCAAAUGAAUAAAUAAUGUUUCAACCCAUUCAUUUGACAUAACCCCAUCAAAAAACUUCAAACUAAGUUGCUUAUAU
rnacentral:misc_RNA from 1 species